UUUUGGAUGUCAUGUGACACACAGCAGGCAACAGCACUUAUGUUUCAUUCAUUUUUUCCUUUAUAUUCUAAACAUUCCCAAACGCAUUAACUAUAUCAUGAAAUAUCUUGAUUCUCACCUUUAUAGAUUAUGAUCAAAGUAACCUAAUAAUGUAAUCUAUUAACUAUGCAUAAAAACCUGUCUGUUUAUGGGUGUCAUGCCAUAACAUUUUUUUAUACAACUGACUUUAUAUUUAAUGUGAAUUUAACACUGAAAGUUUAUGUAACAUGUUUUCUGGUCUUGUCCAGUCUUAAAUCUGUUUUGGUCAGAAAUACAUUCUAGCAUAGAGAAAAUCUUGGAAACUGAGAUAGAAAAAAACAGCUAUUCAGUCAGAAAGAGGCAUUCAGUCAGCGAGCGAGUGAAGAAAACGCCAACAUUUUAGCGAUGACUCAUCUGAACGCCUCUGAUUGGUCAUUGCAUUCAUAAACUCAACAGAAUCGCGUGUGAUUGGUUAUAAUGCACAGUGCUGUAAAAACGCGUCUUUAUCUGGCUCAGCGCCAGCCAGCGAAUGCAGAUUUGAAUUUAGCAGCUAAUGAUAUGAUGCGCUGAACGAUUUAAUCACGCUGGUGUGAUUGUAUUAAAUAUAGAAAAUAUUAAUCGGCUAUUUUUUCUCUUUUGGAAGCUGCAUUCAAAAUCCACUUGGUUCAAAAAUCUGAGGGGGCACGUGCCCCCUGCCCUUGAAUGGGCACGACGCCUCUGGUUUCACUGUCUGUUUGCUCAUGUGCACCAAUCGGAGUGUAAACAUUCAGAAAUCUGCAGUAAGUAUUUUUGCGCAGCUUCUUAAUUCAGACUGAGGCCUGCCACAGUUUAGCGUCACUCUGAUUGAUGCUUAUAAACAUACAAACAGUGCUACAUUUAUUUACCUAUUUGCUAGAUUAUUCCUCCCUUUAAAACCACAAUGGAGCGCACAGCACCUAAGUGUCACCCCAGCUAACACACGACGUAACUGUUACGUAACCUAUUGGUAAUUUUUGGUAAUUUCAUGAUUUACCAAUAGGCAACGUAACCACGACGUCGUAUGCACGUAAUGCCAUUACCAUCUCAUUACCAACUGGCAACGUCGGCAGUACGUCCUCCUAACGUAACAGGAUAACCAAGAACGUCCCAGAGAGGUACUCUAAUCGUAAUAUAUUGGUAAAUUCAUGACUUAGUGGCAACGUAACUGCAACGUUGUAUGCACGUAAUUUCAUUACCAUAAUUUUUGUACGUUCUUUAUGCUCUCUGAUUACCAUAAUGCUAUUUAAAAAGUGUGAUUAAACUUCAGACACAAGAUUGAACGUUCCUUCUUAUAAAAUGUGUUUCUUUUCACCAAGUCAGAAUAUGGACGAUUGCUUUUAAUAUGCCUUUGUAUAGCCCUAUUAAUAAAUUCACAUCAAUUACACCCAUACAGCACUGUUAAAUAUGUUGAAAUAUAUUUUGAAAAUAUAUUUUAAAAAUACAUAAAACAAAGUUAAAAAAUUGUUCCUCACGAUACAUGUGUAAAUAUGUGUACGAAAAAAUAAAUUCCUAUGCCCUAGAUUUUAAUGAAUGUUUUUUCAAUGUUGUUUCUACACCACGUUUACCAUUUCUAAAGCUAUUAUAUUAUAUUAUAUUAUAUUAUAUUAUUAUAAAGUUUUUGCUGGCAGUUUGUCAACGGAUGAAGUAAGCUAACCUUAAUUAAUUUAACCUAAAAGUAUGCACUGUACAGUUAAUCGGAUACGUCACUUACAUGGAGCGUGAAAAUGUGCUGAAACUGAAAACAGGUUUUGAUCUUUCAUGGUAAACACAUAUUGAUACCACUUGUUCUGUGAUUUCAGAAGCGUCAGGAAAAACCCUCUAUUACACAGAAGUUCCUGAUUUUAACAUUUCUGAAGGGAGCUGCUGACAGAGAAAUACACAUCACAGAUUCUUCCAUGCUGAUGGCCGUGCACAAGAGUUAGAGCGUAUCUCCUGUCGAAGAACAUCUCUAGACAUUAUGAACCAUCUGUCUAAGACUGAAAAUCAUCAAUAAACCAAAAGGUAAUUAUAACUUAUUUCAAGAAUAAGAAUAAGAAUAACAAGAAUAAAUAAAAAUGCAUCUGUGACUUAAUAUUGCUUCUUAUUUUUCAGUGAAAGUUGAAAGUUCUCAUUAAACACAUUGCUUUCUUCUCAUCUUUGUGCAUUUUCAGAUGUUGUGCAUAUUUAUGAAUCAAAAUUUGUAACUUUCUUUCUUUAACUUUUUAACAUCAAAUUAACAUAUUAAUUGGUUGUCUUCUUUCUCU